rnacentral:rRNA from 2 species
GGCGAGUGGCGAACGGGUGAGUAACAUAUCGGAACGUACCGAGCAGUGGGGGAUAACUAAUCGAAAGAUUAGCUAAUACCGCAUAUUUUCUGAGGAAGAAAGCAGGGGACCAUUUGGCCUUGCGCUGUUUGAGCGGCCGAUAUCUGAUUAGCUAGUUGGUGGGGUAAAGGCCUACCAAGGCGACGAUCAGUAGCGGGUCUGAGAGGAUGAUCCGCCACACUGGGACUGAGACACGGCCCAGACUCCUACGGGAGGCAGCAGUGGGGAAUUUUGGACAAUGGGCGCAAGCCUGAUCCAGCCAUGCCGCGUGUCUGAAGAAGGCCUUCGGGUUGUAAAGGACUUUUGUCAGGGAAGAAAAGGGCGGGGUUAAUACCCCUGUCUGAUGACGGUACCUGAAGAAUAAGCACCGGCUAACUACGUGCCAGCAGCCGCGGUAAUACGUAGGGUGCGAGCGUUAAUCGGAAUUACUGGGCGUAAAGCGGGCGCAGACGGUUACUUAAGCAGGAUGUGAAAUCCCCGGGCUCAACCUGGGAACUGCGUUCUGAACUGGGUGACUAGAGUGUGUCAGAGGGAGGUAGAAUUCCACGUGUAGCAGUGAAAUGCGUAGAGAUGUGGAGGAAUACCGAUGGCGAAGGCAGCCUCCUGGGAUAACACUGACGUUCAUGCCCGAAAGCGUGGGUAGCAAACAGGAUUAGAUACCCUGGUAGUCCACGCCCUAAACGAUGUCGAUUAGCUGUUGGGCAGCAUGACUGCUUAGUAGCGAAGCUAACGCGUGAAAUCGACCGCCUGGGGAGUACGGUCGCAAGAUUAAAACUCAAAGGAAUUGACGGGGACCCGCACAAGCGGUGGAUGAUGUGGAUUAAUUCGAUGCAACGCGAAGAACCUUACCUGGUCUUGACAUGUACGGAACCCUCCAGAGACGGAGGGGUGCCUUCGGGAGCCGUAACACAGGUGCUGCAUGGCUGUCGUCAGCUCGUGUCGUGAGAUGUUGGGUUAAGUCCCGCAACGAGCGCAACCCUUGUCAUUAGUUGCCAUCAUUAAGUUGGGCACUCUAAUGAGACUGCCGGUGACAAGCCGGAGGAAGG